rnacentral:rRNA from 2 species
UUUCCGUACGUGAACCUGCGGAAGGAUCAUUG